UAGUGGUGAAAGAUUGGACAAUGUUGCCUGAUGGUGAGACUCAGCCGGGUCAUGAGAUUACCCUCUAGGGGUGUGUGGUUGUUCCUUUCUGAUGAUCACACAUACACACAGCCUCCCACCCCCAUACUCCAGAUACAGGCCCAAAAAAACCUAUUUCACUGAAGGUCUAUAUUCGAGCCUUUACAAAUGAUAGUCCCUCCCUUGCUAUGACUGCCUGGUUGGAGCAGGCUAGGCUAAUCGUGGUUCAGUCAACUGUGUGGGGAGAGUUUCUAAGGACUCUUUUCCACACGGUCUUUUCCUGUGUAUACUUUCUUCUCUUCCCCACUGUUAGCAUCCAUCCAGUGUGAUGUCUGUGAAAGCAGGAAGAUGCCACCUCGUAAAAGCAUAUAGGGUAAGCUCUUUGAACCAGGUGUUGGGCUUUAGAGUUUGAUUGUGUUCUCCUUCCCCAAGGUUUGGGUUUCUUUGUCUCUGGUCAGCAACUAGUAGAUAGGGAAGGAAAUGCCCUUAUUCCUUGCAAGUGAACAUUGAGGACUUGUCUCAGAGGAAGGAAGCCUAGUGCUCAUGGAAGCUGUUGUGAGGAAUGUACUCUGUCUGCAUGCAGCUUCCCUGAAUCCCUCCUAUCCUUCAUGGAAAAAUUUAAGGAGAUGGGUCCCUAGUAGUACCAAUAAUCUAGUGCCCUCAGAUCCUAAAAUUUAUCCCCCAAAUUGUAAGGUACUAAUUGGAAGCCACCUGUGACUACCGUGUGUGUGUGUGUCUGUGUCUGUCUGUAUAUCCGUGUGCGCGUGCGCGCCAGAAGCCCUGGCCAUCCACUGCUACUGUCUUAAUGCCUGUCAAGCCACUGUCUGCCUACCCAACACCAGCUCUGCUCGGAUAUCUUGCACCCUGAGUUGAGGAGGGAGAUGUAGAGUGCGGAAGCCACCUUGGCUGUGGUUCUUGAUUGUGUCCCUCAUGCCUGAGCCUUGUGCAUGUGGCAGAAGGAAGUUUGUACAGCCUCUCGGCUUCUGUGCAUCAUCAUGAGUCCCAUCAGCCAAGGCAGGAAGGACACAGAGCUGGCAGGAGACUAAAGUCAGAGAGUGUGUGUCUCUGUCUGUCUCUCUCAUAGUUUUAUUUUGUCUGUAUUGUUUGUUCAUUUGGAUGUUUUAAUUUGUAAAAGAAAAGAUCUUUGCUGAUAUUUAUAAUUUUGUAUCAUAAGAAUGUCCUCCAGAAUUUGUCAUGCCAGUUUAU
rnacentral:lncRNA from 1 species